rnacentral:rRNA from 1 species
GACGUAGGGCGCGAGCGUUGUCCGGAUUUAUUGGGCGUAAAGGGCUCGUAGGCGGUUUGUCGCGUCGGGAGUGAAAACUCAGGGCUUAACCCUGAGCCUGCUUCCGAUACGGGCAGACUAGAGUCAGGUAGGGGAGAACGGAAUUCCUGGUGUAGCGGUGAAAUGCGCAGAUAUCAGGAGGAACACCGGUGGCGAAGGCGGUUCUCUGGGCCUGUACUGACGCUGAGGAACGAAAGCGUGGGGAGCGAACAGG